UACAGAGGUGGCAAGCGUUGUUCGGAAUUACUGGGCGUAAAGGGCGCGUAGGCGGUCUUGUAAGUCUUGUGUGAAAUCCCUCGGCUUAACUGAGGAACUGCACGAGAUACUGCGAGACUUGAGAUCGGGAGAGGUGAGUGGAACUGCGAGUGUAGAGGUGAAAUUCGUAGAUAUUCGCAAGAACACCAGUGGCGAAGGCGGCUCACUGGCCCGAUACUGACGCUGAGGUGCGAAAGCGUGGGGAGCAAACAGG
rnacentral:rRNA from 1 species